rnacentral:antisense_RNA from 1 species
AAAAACUAAAGAUGAUACUCGGGCUAAGGGUGAAGUUGGUAAUUUUUCUUACAUCUACCCCUCCCGGAGUCUAGGCAUAUGCGCCCCCAAAAUUAAAAGCUUGAAUACUAGAAGACUUCUGUUCCUACAAGAGAAACA